AAGUCGUAACAAGGUUUCCGUAGGUGAACCUGCGGAAGGAUCAUUACCGAGUGUUUGGAUGCCCCUUCUCGGGGUGUCCGUCCUCCCAUCCGUGUCUAUUUGUACCCUGUUGCUUCGGCGGGCCCGCCCUUCGUGGCCGCCGGGGGGCUUCCCUGCCCCGGGCCCGUGCCCGCCGGAGACCUCAACCAUGAACACUGUCUGAAGGUUGCAGUCUGAGUACCGAUAUAAAAAAGUCGUUAAAA
rnacentral:misc_RNA from 1 species